UUUUUUUUUCUUUUUUGUUUAUGGGCUGUGUUUAUCGGGAAUAAAUGUUCAAGGACUUCAAAAGGUUUGUCCAUGCAUGUGCAUUUCACGUUUUUUGUACCAUACUUGACCAAUCCCGAAACUACCAAGCACCGGUCAACGUUAUACCGUCAAGGACCCAGAAGAGUUUCCUUCCAACCAGGAGGCCAAUCACAACGCAACACGUGUCAAACACCAAGAGGCCAAUUACAGAGCGACACGUGUCAACAUCAAAGGCCAAUCACAGCAUGACACGUGUCAAUGCUAGAACAAAGCUAGAAACUCUCUUCUAUAAAAUGAGAUCAUUCUCCCACAAUAAUGCCUAAUGUCAUUUGUACUAAAUCAUUCACGAAUACUCACUAAAGGAAAGCUUGAACCUAUGUAUUUGUGUAAACCUUUCACAAUUAAUGAGAACUACUCUACUCCGUGGACGUAGCCAAUCUGGGUGAACCACGUACAUCUUGUGUUUGCUUCCCUAUCUCUAUCCAUUUACAUACUUAUCCACACUAGUGACGGAAGCAAUCUAGCGAAGGUCACAAACUUGACACUUUCUGUUGUACCAAAGUCCUCCGUCUGUGGGAAUCACACUUAUUCCUACUCUCUUCAGCUUUGUCAAGUUGGUUUCCACCAUUCGUACACUCUCUUUUGACCAAGCAUCCCUCUUCAACAUAGGGAGCGAAGAAAGCCACAACAUGCAGAACGACACCCAUCUCACACCUGGUGCGAAGCAACGAAAGAAAGAACAAAAGAAGUUUGCUCUUCAGGCUAAAGUCGAUGAGCUGGAGGCUCAAAACAACAAGAUAGCGAUGAAGAAUGAGAUCCUCUAAGAGUAGUAUGAGAAGGUCUUCGAGAUGCUCCACGAGGCUAGAUAUACUAAAACACACGAGCUCAUCACCCAUGUGGAAGUCAACCAUCAACUGGGUGCCCCCCUAACACGGAGGGUCAUUUGCCCUCGACAUGGGUAUUCCUGUUGAAGAGCGAGCUACUCAUUUAAAUGGUGACCAACAUGAGACUUCUCUCAACCCAGCUGCUUCGACCCGAAGCAGGAGGAGUGGAGGAAUGCACCUCCUUACAGAAGGAGUGGAAGGAUCGAAAGCUAUCUUUCGCGACUGUCGAGACUUCCUAAAGCAACGUCAAUAUAAUCUUAUCCAUGUAAGCUCGAAGAUCAAUAACCCAAGGGUCUCUGAAAGACCCAGUCCCCUCCCAUGUCCCAGGUCAGCUACCAAUUUGGGGAAAGGGCAACAAGUCCUAGAGAAACAUGAAGAUAUAGGAGACUCAUAGAUGUUCCGACAGACAUACCUUGGAAGUCAGUACGGCGAGUCUAGGGAAAAAUCACAUGCUCUUGAUCAAACCUUCCUACUUCUAAGAGGAGAUGUAGAUUUACGAAAGAAAGCUCCAGUGGUACAUGACUCCACUCAGGACCUUCUUGUCCUACAGCUCCUUAAGGAAGUAAACAAGUUAAAGGCCGAACAAUAAGCUAAGAUACCUGAUUGGAACCAACCUAGGCCUGGCCCUCUUAUAAGGAGGAUCCUCGACACCCCCCUUCAAGCGAAGACAAAACAAAAGCUUGGUUUAUAACUCUAUACUGGAAGAGAGGACCCGAUUGAACAUCUUAACCUCUUUGAGUCCACCAUGGCAUAUCAGAUGCACACCGACGAAGAACGAUGUCUUCUCUUCCCUUCCACUCUCUCUGGCGGAGCUCUAAAUUGGUAUUGUCGUCUUCCACCCGAGACAGUAGACUCAUUUAAGGAACUAAGGAAACUAUUUGUCUUUCAACACAUCUUCCAAAAUGAUCACUUACAUUAUGCAGAUGACUUGUACACUACUUGCCAGAAGUCGGACUAGUCAUUACGAAUGUAUACUGGUCACUUUAGCCAUUAGUAUUCUCGCUACGCUAAAACAGAUGACAAGACCGCCUCAAAGCCUUCACGACAGGCCUACGUGAUUGUUUAUUCAAGUACAUGAUCAAUGCCAACACUUGGAAGACUUACUCUAAGGUGAUGGCACAUGCUUACAACCACGCCUCCGCCGAAGCAAUGACAUACCAAGGGAACCCCCAUAUGGUUAACCCCUAUCAACAAGUGGGAAGUGGAAGUCAAGUUCUACCAAGUGAGGAGAUCUUGGCCAUUCAAACACCCAUUACAUCAUCUCCUGCCUCAUUUAGCUACUCGCUAAGUCACCAAACGUAUUUGUCUUUUAGUAAGAGAAAGAAUUUUUACUCUCAGUAAGCCCAUUACAACAAGAGGGAUAAAAGUUCGUAUCAAGACAACCAGGGGUGAACAUACCGUCGACUAUUGUGACUAUGGGGCCAAGCCUCACUCUUUCAAAGUGGAAGACUAGGUACUAAAGGAAAUGCUAUUAUAAGAAGGCAUACACAUUGCAAAUGUUUUGACCCUUAACCGAUUGAGAUCUUUUGUCACACAAGCCAUUCGGCAAAUAUUUAAAGAAAAAGGAAUUCAGACAACUUCUUCUGAGUUUUUUACAUUCCUAGCACUAGAACACUUGGUCUACGCUGACCCACCUCUAUACUUAAACUCAGAGCUUCAACAUGCGUACUUUGACACAAAGUAUGAGAUACUAAGUGUUACAACCAAUAUAGUUCACAUAUCGAAAGCAUGGAUCCCUUCAUGCAUAGCAAAACAUUCAUAAGCAUCACUCAUGUUAAUCAACAUAAACAUCAUACAUUCCAACACAUCCAUACAUAAGCCAACUGUACUUCGAAAGGGUUCAACCCACUUUGUGUCAUUCAACACUUACUACAAUGUGCCUCGACACCUUGCCCUUAUUCUCACCAACUAGGUGAUGAAGGAACUCACCUUCGUGCCACCGACUAGGUGAUCGUGACAACCCGUACUCUCUUUCAUGCCACUAACCAGGUGAUGAAAUGUACAACCGUACUCUAAUAUUAUUUGGCAACUUGCCACUCUUAUCACCAACCAGGUGAAGAAGGAACUCAUCUUCAUCAUGCCACCAACUAGUGAUGAAAUGUAUAACCCGUACUCUCCUUCAUGCCACCAACCAGGUGAUGAAAUGUACAACCCGUACUCUAAUAUUAUUUGGCAACUUGCCACUCUUAUCACUAAUCAGGUGAAAAUAGAACUCAUUUUCAUGCCACCAACUAGGUGAUGAAAUGUAUAACCCGUACUCUCCUUUAUGCCACCAACUAGGUGAUGAAAUGUACAACCCGUACUCUAAUAUUAUUUGGCAACUUACCACUCUUAUCACUAAUCAGGUGAAGAAAGAACUCAUUUUCAUGCCACUAACUAGGUGAUGAAAUGUAUAACUCGUACUCUCCUUUAUGCCACCAACCAGGUGAUGAAAUGUGAAGAAUGAACUCAUCUUCGUGCCACAACCAAGUGAUGAAAUGUGAUGAAAGGUGAUGAAGGAACUCACAUUCGUACCACCAACCAAGUGAUGAAAGCAACCCACCAUUCAUUCCACCAACUAGAAGACGAGUGGUACAACUUGUACAUGUGAACUCCUAGCAUUCACAAAUAACCAAAAACCCUCAAGCUUUACAACUCAACUAAGGGAGCACUUAUGCCUAACAAGAGUUAUAGUCACCAACAAAGUCUUAUUGCAAGCCAACAACGGCUUUAGUGCAUGGUAUACGAAGAUCAAGCUCUUCAGCCCUCUUGCAUCUGUUUCAGACAUUUCUUCUCUGUAACAAUGCAAACACUACAACUCAUAGAAAGCUUCACACACUCUUGAUCAAGACUGUUCGAAGCAAAUUCAAUUUAUAUGGUUCAUCGAAACCUUCGACUACUACAAGGUGUGGCUUGCAUCACAAUCUCUUGCUCAACAGUGUGGAAGAAAAAUUUGUAUAUGUUGUCUCUCCCACAUUUUCAAAUUUCUAGUUUUCCCAAAAAAAAAAAAAAUUAGGAAAUUCAACAGAGCUUCAUCAAUGGAGGGCAACCACAACUCUCAAAAGCUUCACACACUCUUGAUCAAGAUAGUGUGAAGCAAAACCAAUUUAUGGUGGAAAUCAAAAGCUUCAUCAAUGGAGGAUAACCAUAAAUCUCAAAAGCUUCACACACUCUUGAUCAAGAUAGUGUGAAGCAAAACCAAUUUAUGGUGUCAACAAAAGCUUCACACACUCUUGAUCAAGAUAAUGUGAAGCAAAACCAAUUUAUGGUGGAAAUCAAAAGCUUCAUCAAUGAAAGACAACCACAAAUCUCAAACGCUUCACACACUCUUGAUCAAGACAGUGUGAAGCAAAACCAAUUUAUGGUGCCAACAAGAGCUUCAUCAAAAAAGUUCAACCACAAUUCUCAAAAGCUUCACACACUCUUGAUCAAGACAGUGUGAAGCAAAACCAAUUUAUGGUGCCAACAAAAGCUUCAUCAAUGGAGGGCAACUACAAUUCUCAAAAGUUUCACACACUCUUGAUCAAGACAAUGUGAAGCAAAACCAAUUUAUGGUGCCAACAAGAGCUUCAUCAAAGGAGUUCAACCACAAUUCUUAAAAGCUUCACACACUCUUAAUCAAGACAGUGUGAAGCAAAACCAAUUUAUGGUGCCAACAAAAGCUUCAACAAAUGAGUUCAACGACAAUUCUCAAAAGCUUCACACACUCUUGAUCAAGACAGUGUGAAGUAAAACCAAUUUAUGGUGCUAACAAAAGCUUCAUCAAUGGAGGGCAACUACAAUUCUCAAAAGCUUCACACACUUUUGAUCAAGACAGUGUGAAUCAAAACCAAUUUAUGAUGCCAACAAAAGCUUCAACACCAAAGCUUCACCUACAAAGUUUCAACACAAAAGCUUCACUUAUAAAGCUUCACCUACAAAGCUUCAGCACCAAAGCUUCACCUAUAAAGCUUCAACUCCAAAGCUUUACCUACAAAAGUUCAACUCCAAAGCUUCACCUACAAAGCUUCAACACAAAAGCUUCACUUACAAAGCUUCAACUUCAAAGUUUCACCUACAAAAGCUUCAACUCCAAAGCUUCACCUACAAAGCUUCAAACACAAAAUCUUCACCUACAAAGUUUCAACACAAAAGCUUUCACCUACAAAGCUUCAACACAAAGGCUUCACCUACAAAGCUAAACACAAAAGCUUCAACACUAAAACUUCACCUACAAAGCUUCAACUCCAAAGCUUCACCUACAAAAGCUUCAACUCCAAAGCUUCACCUACAAAGCUUCAACUCAACUCCAAACUCACUUCAACACAAAAGCUUCACCUACAAAGCUUCAACACAAAAGCUUUACCUACAAAGCUUCAACUCCAAAGCUUCACCUACAAAGCUUCAACACAGAAGCUUCACCUACAAAAGCUUCAACUCCAAAGCUUCACCUACAAAAGCUUCAACUCCAAAGCUUCACCUACAAAGUUUUAACACAAAAGCUUCACCUACAAAGCUUCAACUACAAAUGCCAAAAGCUUCACACACUCUUGAUCAAGAUAGUGUGAAGCAAAAUCAAUUCAUGGUACCCAACAAAGCUUCAACCUCAAAGCUUCAUACCUGCAAGACAAGGAGAAAGAGAGCAAUCAGUCAGCACUUGGAAUCAAGCUUCCAGUCAGGAACUGACUGCCUGGAACCCUUUGCCUAAUUACUUACCUGGCAUUACUCUCAAGUACUCAUUUUCAACAUCUUGUGCUUCCAGAGAAGAUACCACAUCUACCUGAGGAACAGAUGGGGCAAGUGAGAAUGAUACAAGGAAGCAUGUGGAAACAAGCGCAACAACAGAACACGUGCCGAUUUAUCUAUUGCUUUUGUCAACAAAAAAAAAUAUCCCAUAUCAUUAAGGUCGAACGCACUCUUGAUUUAAUUGACUUGUUUUGACCCUCAAAUUCUUGAGUUGGCCUUAUACUCUGGAAGAAACCAGAAAACCCUUCAGCCCAAUUCAAGAAUAAGCCUGUGGAAAGUUACUUCUUCAAAAGCAAACGUAUCUCAUAUCAUCUCUUCUUCAUGUCCUUGUCUUUGUCCUUGUUGAUGUUUACAAAACAAGGAGAAUGAGAACAAUCAGCCGGAACACGAGAUCAAACUUUCGAUCUGAGACUGACUGCUUGGAACUCUGAUUGUUUACUAUGUAUGUCACCUCUUUCGGCAUAUCUCCUCGCUUAGAUACUUGGGGGACUCCUACUAUAGGGUUUGUAUCGCACUUGACCAAGCUCGAAACUACAAGUAAGAUUCAAAUGAAAAUGAUACAUUACCUUGUGCAUCUCUAUCAGUUAAAGAUACCACCCCUAGAUGGAGGAAAACUACUUUCAGAGAAGAUGCCACAUCUACUUAUGAGACAAAUAAGGUAAGUGAAAACGAUACCACACUUUGAUACUAAGAAGUUUCGUAAUUACUCAAAGGCUUGGAUCUUGCAAGUCCUCAACCGAGGAGCUUCCCUCACUCAGGAACUUAGGGGAGCACUGUUUGUACCAUACUUAACCAAUCCCGAAACUUUCAAGCACCAGUCAAUGUUAUACUGUCAAGGACCCAGAAGAGUUUCCUUCCAACCAAGAGGCCAAUCACAGCGCAACAUGUGUCAACACCAAGAGGCCAAUCACAGGGAAAACACAUGUCAACAUCAAAGGCCAAUCACAGCAUGACACGUGUCAAGGCCAGAACAAAGCUAGAAACUCUCUUCUAUAAAGGGAGAAUCAUUCUCCCACAAUAAUGCCUAAUGUCAUUUGUACUAAAUCAUUCACUAGUACUCAUUAAAGGAGAGCUUGAACCUAUGUACUUGUGUAAACCCUUCACAAUUAAUGAGAACUCUUCUACUCCAUGGACGUAGCCAAUCUGGUGAACCACGUACAUCUUGUGUUUGCUUCCUUAUCUCUAUCCAUUUACAUACUUAUCCACACUAGUGAGUGACCGGAGCAAUCUAGCGAAGGUCACAAACUUGACACUUUCUGUUGUACCAAAGUCCUCACUGAUUUUGUGCAUCAACACACAUCUUCUUUCUUACUAGCUUAGCUAUCUAGUCAAGCUUGCGCGCGAAUUUCCAGCAAGUUGGGCACGCAAAUUAAGACUUGCCCACAUGGGCUGACUGACAACUUUUUGUUGGUUACCAACUUUUAGUCGUGGAUCUACCCAAAUUGCUUUGUGGUGUGACACAUGUUCUUUGUCCUUACUAGCUGAAAUGAAACAUCCUUUUUGUAUAUAUCUUUGGCCAAGUUUUCACUUCUUCCUUAGGGGUUUUUAGAUUAUAUUGUUUAGAGAGAAAAGUUAGAGAGAGACAGAGCAUUUAUGCUUUCACCUUCUUCCUCCUUUUCAUUUAUGAACCCUAAUUGACAAACUAUUUUUUCAUGCAUUAAACACCCAAUCAUUGAAGCAUUGUUUUUGUGGUUUUGUAUUAAAUUUGUGGUCAAGUGUUCCUAGUUUCAAAUUUUUAAAAUUGACCUAUUUUAGGAUUCUUGUUAGGUUCUUCCUUCAACAGUUUCACUAGAGAAACUGACUGGACAUUUGAAUCCAGAUUUGCAUAUCAUUGACAUAUCAUCUUAUGCAUAGUUCAUGUGUUGGUCUCAGUGCCACAAUGUGAAGAGUUCAGGAGGAGCUGCCAUCUUGUGAAGACUGGAGACAAUACAUUUUUGGUGCCACAAGGUGAAGAGCUCAUGAGGAUCUGCCAUUCGUGAAGACCGAAGGAAUCCAUCUUGUGUGAGAUAAGGUUGCAUAAAGGUAAAGCUUCUCCGUAGACUAGGUCUAGGAAUUGAGCUUUGCGUGGUACUUUGUAAAAACCUUGCUUAUACUAGUCAAUUAGACUUAGUGGAGAGUCCCCGGUUUUUUAACCCAAAUAUGGGUUUUUCCGGCCGAAACAUCUUGUGUUCAAAGUUAUUUAUAUUUGUCACAUAUCUCACAUAAUAUACAUGCUACAUGUAUAACUUGAAUAUUUAAUUAGUAUAUGCUCACAAUCAUGCUCGCUUGAUAUAUUAAAAACUUUGAAUGAACUGAGGCCUUGCAGACUAGGAUAGCUUUUGGUAUUUGAAAUUGGUUAUUGAAUCUUUGAUUUAUUGACUAACCAAUCUAUCUUAGUUGACUAGCAAGCUUGACUAAUCAGUCUGGUAGAUUAUAAUUUUUAUAUACAGGAUAUUCCACCUAGUACCAAUUUCAUAUGGUUCAUAACAUAAUUUUAAUUUAGAAUGUAGCAUAUGUAUGGUACAUAAUGUUUUUAUUAUUGGUACUUACUGGACUGAUGAAACGUUAUACAAUGUAAGUUAAAUGUGUCUUAUUUGGUAGGUCUUUUAGCAUUAUGUUAAUUUAGAAGGUAUAAAUCAUUUAGUACAUAAUGUGCACAUCACUCCAAGUAAAAACAUGCUAAACUUUCGACAAUAGUUGGAUAUUGGAUGAGCUUAUAUAAUAAUAAAAAAAAAAAUUAAAAAAAAAACCCUAAAUCUAAAGUUAAAGUUGAUGUAUGCCAAAGUUCACAACGUACCCAAAGUGAAACCUAUUCUUCUAUAUCAAAACCUACCAAAGAAAAUAUAUAAUAACAUAAUGAUUUAUUACCAAAAACAAAUACAUGAUUAAAAUAUAGUUCAAAUAUCCCACCAUAGUCAGCACAUUAAUCCAACUCUAGCAAAAAAAUUUACAAAAAAAUGAUAGAGACAUGACUGAUUAAUCAAUAGGGUGUUGAGCAAGUCUUCAUAAACCUUGCACGCCUAAGUAACAGGCAGGCAGCAUCCAAUGCUUAUUGGGAUAUUUCAUCAAACAUGUGUCGGGCAACGUUCAAAACUUCAAGAAGUUGGCACAACUCCUUAGGUGUAGAUCCGUCAUUGUUAUAACUUAUCAACAAAAAAUAAACUAUCAGCGUUUACAUUACUGGUACAAACCUGAAGCUAAAAACCAUUUAACUUACCAGCAGAAACCAAAAGGUUGAAGCAAUAGAGAAUCUGGAUAAAGCCUGCACAAUGUACUAGCCUCAAGCCGCCAGAAACAGAGAGUAAAUUAGCAGAAUAAUAUAUGUUUAAUGGAUUAAUUUCUAUUUACUACCUUGAAGUUUCGUGGUUUUCAACAUUUAGUGUUGGAUAUAAGUCAACAAUCUGUGAUAAUUUAUAUAUGCUAAUAAAUAAUAAAUGCAAUAGGAAUUAACAGAAUAUAAACUAGAAUACGAAUUAUAAAAACAGACAACUUGAAGAUCGAGGCUUGCGUACCGCAAUGUCCUUGAAACAGAAAUUUCGCCCCUACUCAGUGCUUGUAGUUCUACGGACGUCUGCUUCACCAGGAUUCAACGAUCUAAGUCAGAAAUUCCAGCACCGGAAAAUUGACUUCUGGCGAAUUUUAAUGUGGUUCUCUCAGAAAGGAUGUUUAUGAUUGCAGGAGAAGAUUUAUGAUUUUUCUGUAUCUUAAAUGCCAUGCAGAUGGAUAUAUAUAUAAUGUGAUUAUACCUGUUCGCAACAGGUAUGAGGAAGGGAUGCAUCUGUUGGGAGACAUCUGCUAAAAAGGGUGUUUUUGUUUCUGCGUUUUCACACUUCAGACUUCAUCUGAAAAGAUGAGUCUAUUGGUAAAAAUAAUUAAUUAAUUAAUUUAAAUUCGAAAUUAAAAAUAAUUAAUUAAUUCCAAAAAUAAUUAAUUAAUUAAUUUAAAUUCGAAAUUAAAAAUAAUUAAUUAAUUCCAAAAAUAAUUAAUUAAUUUAAUUAGGUAAAAAUAAUUAAUUAAUUAAUUUAAAUUCGAAAUUAAAAAUAAUUAAUUAAUUCCGAAAAUAAAUAAUUAAUUUAAUUAUUAGAGCCCAAGAGCAUCUUUUGACAAUUAAAUAUAUAUUAAAUAUAUAUUAAUUAUAUAUUAAUUAUCAAUUAAUUAGUACACCCUAAUUAAUUAUAUAUUAAUUACCAAUUAAUUAGUACACCCCAAAGCCCAACCCCAAAGGUGAGCCCAAUUUUAGUCUCCAGGCCUAUUACUCCAAUCACUUUCUAUAAAGGACAAAGCCUUAUAAAAUGAUAAAAUCUUUUGGGAAUGGCUAAUGUGGGACAAAGAAAUUUCUACUCAAACUACUCAAAUUUCCAACAUUUUGUACAUGAAGUUUUUUUCAUCCCAGAGUCAUACCUCAAGUCUUUUUUUUGGGACAGUUUCAUACAUCCGUUAAGUUUUCUAUCAGAACCUCUGUUAACUGAUGACAUGGCGCCCACUUGGAUAAUAACUGAACGCCACAUGUCAAUAUGGGCCACGUGGAAAUUAAAAAAUAUUUAAAAUUUUAAAUUUAAAUUUAAAAUACAUAAAAAAAAUACUAAAAAAAAACCUACCCGUCUCUUACCUUAAACCCUAAAAAAAACCUACCCGUCUUUUACCCCACCCCCCUCCCAUCUCUCUCUGCAACCCGCAAGACCCUCCAUUUUCACCUCUGCAAACUACACCAGCCUCCCUUCUCUCCUUUGCAAGCAUAGUCUAGUCUCGCCUACAGCUUCUCCUCGUACACCUUCCGCUCGUUGGGGAAGAAGAUCCUGUAGUUUCUCUCCGAUGUGGGACCAAAUUUCUUGUCCUCGUUGAAUAGAGCGAAGAGGUAGACAGGUCAGAUCUACUUUGGGCCUAAAGGGGGUCCCCCCGCCGGUUAAUACCCGACAGAUGAGGAACUUGGUGGUGUUGUGGGUGUCAACGAAAACCUCAUUGUCGAUGCAAAUAGCUUCGAUCUGGGUGUUGGGGUGGUAAGCGACGACGUUUCGCUGGACCCAGUUGGCAGCAAAAGACUGAGACUUGGCGGUGGAGGAGAACGGUCGACGGUGACCUUGAUGUUGGAUCCAGCUAGGGCCUGGAGCACGGCCGGGUCGAAGUCGAAGACCUUGACCCGCUCCAAGCCUUGGGACUUCAGAAGCUGGUGCGAUUGGCAGAGAUGAAAAUGGAGGGUCUUCCCCUAACCCAGAUCCCACCCUCCCUCUCUCUCAUUCCUAUUCGCACACUAAAGGUCGUGGGUUGAGGCUAGAAUUUGUAGGAGGCUGAAGUGUGGAUCUAGGAGUCGCGGGUCUGCAAAAGAGGUGCAGUUGUUGUUCGAUUUUAAAAUGGUGAGAAAGACGAGAUGCUGAAGGUUGCGGGUUGGUAGUUGCAAGUGUUGGGAUUGCGACGAAGCUGUGAGUUGCUCGAGGGUUUGUUUAUUUGACUUUGCAGAAUGAGGAUUCUUGAGGACUGGGUUCCUCAAAUUUCUUAACCAUGUCGUGACCUUUGGGGGACUACAGAACCUCGAAGGAGAGACAACCAUGUUUUGCAGUCAUGGCUUCAACAUUCUGGGUUAUUUGAUUUAUUGCUACCGCUGUUGGGUUGUUGCUAAGACGUCGGCGCUGCAAGCUCGCCUGAGGGAUCCCUCUGAAACUGUAGGCCAUCCCCAACCCAGAUCCCACCUUCUCUCUCUCUCAUCCCUAUCUACAUUACGCGGCGCAGAUCUGCCGAAACCCUAAGACUUCCAGUUCAAAUCUUUGACUCUGAGCAAAGAAGAAACUGAGCUCAAAGCCAUGGACUUUUUUUUUUUUUUUGUGUUUUUGUAUUUUUUUUUAAUAUUGAAGUGGGCUCAUAUUGACACAUGGCGCUCAGUUAUUGUCCACGUGAGUGCCAUGUCAUUACUUAACAGAAGUUCUAACAGAAAACUUAAUAGAUGUAUGAAACUGUCCCAAAAUUAAGACUUGAGGUAUGACUUUGGGAUGAAAAAAACUUUAUGUACCAAAUGUUGAAAACCACGAAACUUCAGGUUAGUAAAUAGAGAUUAACCCAUGUUUAAUUAUCUCACACAAUAACAAGAUAACAUUGUGAAAACAAAUGGGAGAUCACAAAACUCAAACGUGGAAGAAAAAAAAUCCAAAAACUGGUAACAAACCAGAAACUACUUCCUAAAAAUGGGGUCACUUAAAAAGUAAUAUCCACCUAAAAGGACAUAUUCAAAAUUCAGUAAUUAGACCAUUCUUGUAGAUGUAACAUCACACGUCGUCCAGGGAAGUGGAUCCUCUAAACCUUAUAUGUAUAUUUUCAUCUUUACCUAGCACGAGGUUUUUUGGAAGUUCACUGGCUUCAGGUUCCAUCGGAACUCCGAAGUUAAGCGAGUCCGUGCGAAAGCAAUCCCAAGAUGGGUGACCCACUGGGAAGUUCUCGUGUGAGUUCCCAUAAACAAAAUCGUGAGGGCGUGGUCGGGGCCUAAAGUGGACAAUAUCGUGUUACGGCGGAGUCGAGCCCAGGAUGUGGUAGGGGCCUGGGCCGGGAUGCGACAAUUUGGUAUCAGAAUCAAUCACGAAUAAAACAAUGUGUUCAUACACACAAGUGAGUAGGCAAAUGAUGGUAUUAAAUAUAAAAGUUAGGUGAUGAACCUACCAAUCACGAAUAAAACAAUUUAAUUUCAAUAUAUUAAGAGGUAUUCAUCAAUUCCCCCCUGAACUUGUGACUAUUGGCCAAUUUCCCCCCUCAACUUUAAUUUUGGCCAAUUUCCCCCCUCAACUCUCAUAAUUAGUCAAUUUCCCCCCUCAACUUUAAUUUGGCCAAUUUCCCCCCUCAACUCUCAUAAUUAGUCAAUUUGCACCCUACUAUUAAUUUUUUAAUUUGAUCAUAAUUAAACAAGUGUGUGUAAGAAACUAAAUAAGAUGUAUGUUAAUCAUUUUCCUAUGUCUUUAUCCUAUUACAAAUAGAUUAAAAUUUAGAAUUUUACAAUUUAUCAUAGAUAGUAUUAUUAGUCAUAAUAAAUCAGUAUGGAGUAAUUUUAUUUGAUUUUUUACUAUACAAAAUUGAUAACGAAAAUGAUUGACAUUUUUGUAUGUGAAUACAAUUUUCUUUAUAAAAGUGAAAGCUAAGUUCAAGUAAAUUGCGGAGAAUCGAGGUUUAGUGCAAAAAUGGCUAGUCAAUUCAUAAUUUUCAACUCCUUAUUAAGAAUAACUCAUUUUAUUGAAAUAGGUCUGAUCCAUGAGUUUAGGGUUAUUAUUUCUUCUUCUACAUGCUUUAAACCCGAUUCAUAACUUUUUCUUAUAAUCAACCCAUAUCACAUACUAAUUAUAUUAUGUUUUUGUACAUUUUACCUAUAUUAUGCAGGUGAGUUUAUGUUAAUUUUAGUACUUUGUUGGAAGUUAUUAGAAAGAUUGAAAGAAAAAAAAAUAGAUGGAAAAUUAAAAAAAAUUAACAAUAGGGUGCAAAUUGACUAAUUAUGAGAGUUGAGGGGAGAAAUUGGCCAAAAUUAAAGUUGAGAGGGGAAAUUGGCCAAUAGUCACAAGUUCAAGGGGGGAAUUGAUGAAUACCUCUAAUAUUAAAUAUAAAAGUUGAUCUUCAAUAUAGGGCAUUCACACUCCUUUUACAAUAAAUAAAAAAUUUAAUUUCAAUGAUUGGCUCUAAACCAUGAAAAAUAAAUAAAUAAAUAAACAUGAAAACCACAUGUCUACUUUCAUAAAUUGUAGUGGAAGAAAUUAAUUUCAAGUGAAAAUUGAAGGGUCGCCACCACAAGAAUCGUUUUCCAUAAAUAGUAAUGAAACCAAAGAAAAAGAAAACACAAAAACUAAACUGUCAUACACAUCAACGUAACGUGUACGGAGUACCACCUGCCCACUACCUAUAUACGAUGACUCGAUUUUCUCCUCCCUCCCUCCCUCACCCCCUUUGUAUUUUGCCUGUCUCCGAGGAAACCAGAAAAACAAUGGCUUUCUGCAGGAGGAAGGACGGAUGAGUAUAUGAGAAGAAGUGGGAAUACAGUAUGCGAACGCUUUGUGAUGUGUGCGAGAGCGCCGCUGCCAUCCUCUUCUGUGCCGCCGACGAGGCCGCCCUUUGCCGUUCCUGUGACGAAAAGGUUCUUCAUUUCUUCUUUCCCUUUGCUUUUAUUUAUGCAAACAUUGACUUUUAGUUAUAUGAUCCUUCCAAUGAUUUUAGCACGAACAUUUGCAAGUUUUUGGGAAAUUGAAUUUUGUGGGUCUGUUUUCUGAUUGUUAGUCUUGAUUUUGGUUAUUGCAAGCUAAUUCACUGGUGGUUUUUUUUUUUAGUACAAACAAUACUCUACAUUAAGGGGGAGCGGGGGGGGGGAUUAAGCAUGAUUGCUUACUGCUUGAACUUGUUUGGCGAGUAUACGAGGUUUUGUAUCAAACUAUGAGUACCCAGAUGAUGUGGAAGUCAUACUAUACAAUUUGGAAUUGUGAAAGUGAGAUUGGUAAAUUUAAUCAACAGUUCACAUUAGUGAUGAAUUUUGAGAUGUUUGGUUAGAGAAGUGAUUGGCGAUGGGUUGCUAUCUGAAUGUAGCGUGGUUCGAAAAUCAUGCGUUAUACACAAGUCUGACGUUUGCUUCGUAAUUUUGAAGUCUUUCUGCCAUUUAUGUGUAUGGAAAUCAUGACUACCGAAGAUGUUUGAAUUCUUAGUCUUUUCUUUGCUUUGCAUAGCUCUCCUUUCAAAUUGUAGUAGAAGCAUGAUUUUGUUCUUCUGUGUUGGAAUUGCAGGUCCAUCUGUGUAAUAGACUUGCCAAUAGACAUGUACGGGUUGGGCUAGCCACACCCAGUGACAUUCCUUGCUGUGAUAUUUGCGAAAAUGCACCUGGUAUGCUAGACUUCAAUGUUUUAAACUUUUAGUUUUUGUGAGCUAUGUUAAACUUAUGUAGAAGAAUUUUCAAGACUUAUUUCCCUUGGAAAACAUACAUGUAGCGUUCUUUUACUGUGAGGUAGAUGGUAGUUCUCUUUGCCUGCAGUGUGAUAUGAUUGUACAUGUCGGUGGGAAAAGAACCCAUGGGAGGUAUCUCCUCUUCAGGCAGAGAGUUGAGGUUUGUGUCUCUCUACUGGAGGGUUUGGGUUAAGGUUAUGUAUAUAGGCCUCCAGGGCUUAAUUUCUUUUCUCUCUUGGGGCGUUUCUCUAUAGUUUCCAGGGAAUAAGCUUGGCCGUUCAGAGGAACUAGGACUUCAACCACUUGACCAAAAGAAGGUACGAAGGGACGAAAAUCAGCUGCCCGAUGUAAAACCAAAAGAGAAUGAACAUAAUCACAAUAUCUCUCCAACUGCAGUCCUAGAAAACAAUAUUGACGGUGACUACAAGAUAGACAAUACAUUGAUUGAUCUUAAUACCAGGCCCCAAAGAAUACGCAGGCAAGCUUCAAAACCAGGUAAAAAUAUAUUUCCUCAUGUUGAUUUUACUAUCUGGUUGGGUUCUUUAAUAAGGCAUUCUUGUCUUCUUAUUAACAAGGGAUUCUUUGUCUUCUAAACGUGCAAAUUAUUGACAUGCAGUUUGAAAGUUGUGAACUCUAGUUCUCUCCCUUUUAUUCUUCUCAAAAAAAAAUUAUUUGUACAUUAUAAGCAUUUUGAGUAAUCAAAACAACAUUUAUCUUGCCUUCAUAUUUAGGAACAAGGUGUGGGUGUUCUAUAUGGCUUGAAUGACGAAUCUGUAAGUGUCGUUCCAGUUGGAUCCUUCAAAAAAUAGCCUGAAAAGUGAGAAAGGUACAAUUUGCGUAUCAUAUUAUCCUCAUCCAUUUUUUUUAUGUUUUCAAGAUUUUCUUGUACGAAGUUAAAUUGCUGCUUAUAGCUCAGGAAAAAUCUCUAGCAUUGACUUUGAUGUGUUUAAAUUCAGAAAUGAAAAGGAUUGUUCAAAUCAAUGGUUUGCAUGCACAUGCUUAUGUAAAAUACAUGGGAAUCUGCAUUGGAUUUUUUCUUUCAAAAUGCUAGAAAAUGAGUGAAACUUUUCUCAUAUUGGGUCACUAACAAGGAGGGAUAUUUUGAUACCAGUCCCAAAGAACGUAUUUGGUUUUGAGCAACUUUAAUUGCUAGCAGAAAACGAUACAAUUAAGGCUUACAAAGCCGCAAUUUCUUCUUGGUAAUCUAUUUCUUUCCCCAAGAACUUGGAUGGUAAGUUUGAACUGAGACGGAUGGUUGACAUUACAAAGAAAUUGCACCUGUUGUGCAUUUGUGGGAAGGGCAUCUUCUCCCUCCACUUUGCUUAUUAGCCUUACUAUCUUUAAAGGUUUGCUAGAAAUAAAGAGGUGGAGAUUAUAUUGGCUUCCCAUUAUACUGUGUACUCGAUCGAAGAAAAGAUAAGUCGGGAGAAAGUUAAUAACUCUGUUUAUCAAAUAACACAUAGAUGCUGAUAUUUUUCGGUUCUUGUUUUGAAAUGGGUCGAGUGUAGAUAUAAACAACUUGUUUAAGAUCCCCAACUAUUUGUAUUUCUGUUUUCUGUCUGAUCACGUUUUUUAUCUAAUGAGAUUAUCUCUGUUCUUUGUCAUCGUCGUCCAAUAAAUUUGCAAACCCUUCUCUUCCUCUACAUUGUGGCUGCAGAUGUUGUGGACAAACUACCGUUGCACAAUCUUGGUUGACGACUUACGCACUUGUAUUCUAAUUUGUACCUUUCUUCUGUUUUCUUUGGAUCAGCAUCAGUCUGUCACGUUACUCAUGCAAAGUAGAUUAGAUGAAAACUCUUUUGAGUUUGUAUUAUCACAAGCAAUGUGUUUAGCUUGAAAGAGAGAUAAGUGAGAGUCAUUAGUACAGUUUGUUCAAAGUUAAGUUAUCGAAGUACAAUGCCGCUGUUGACAUUCCUCUUACUUGCACUUCGAUGACAUUUUUAUCAAAUCUUAGAAAGGAAAUGUGAACUAGUUUCAAUUGAAGUUGAAUGCUUCCCCAAAAACUCAUGUGAUUUGGCUUUUAAAUGAGAACUUAAUCAGGAUUACUUAUAUAGUUUCUGUGUAUGCACAAAGGCGAUCCAAGGAGGGAGAAAACUUUUCCUAUACCCGUUGCAUGAAAUGGGAGUCUAAUGUUCUCUGCAUCAUGUGCUACUCAUAUAACCAUGAAUGUGGAACACCUGUUUCGUACAACAUUUUCAAGAAACAGUAGUUGAAGACAUCCCUGAGAAACGCAUGGUGGGGAUGUGUUAAUGUAGUCUACUGAUUCGAACUUGGUCAUCUUGAUAGAUUUUGAUGUAGUCUAAUGAUUCGAACCAUGUUAUCAGACUGAGAGAAAUCACUGAAACAUUUCCAAGUUUUUUCCAGACGAGCUAUGUGCCGCGAAGGAUCAAGCUGAUGGAUUUCUGAAAAAUUAUGCCUGAAAGUAGCAAAAUUUUUGGGGUUCAGGUUAACUUAUCAACCGAAGACGCAAACUUCAAGCAUGAAAAUAUCCGAUUGAAUAACUACCGGCUAACUAACUCAUCAUCAAGAAGCUUAUUAAGUUGCUAAAAAGCACAUAAAAUGUUCAUCAACAAAAAUAGUCUUUCAUGGCUAUAAAGCAUUACACACAUAAGAGAUCCAUGUCUCCUUCCUCCAUUAACAUCAACAUCACCAUCUGCUAUUUGUUCUUCAUCAUCUACAUCGUCGGUACAAAUUACUUAGUACACGUAGCCCUUGACGAACAAUUCCUUCUUUGCCUCCUCAGACUCUCCUUCUCCGGUGUACUUGCCAAGUUGUGCGAGUGAGUUGGCCUUGGCACGGAUGAGCAGAGUAUCCUGAGCUGCCUUCACGUUCUCGGGUCUGCCUCCCCAUGUCUUCAAACAGGUGUUUUGGAGAGCUCUGGCAUAGGAGAACGACACGUGCCAUGGGUUUGGCGAUUGGUUCAUCGCAUUCAAGUUCAGGGUUGCCUCGACCUCAGAUUGUCCACCAGACAAAAACUGCGCAACAAACACAAUUUCAUCAUCGGUACAUGAUAUAUUCUCAUCACAAAAGAAAACAAUUAGUAUCAAGUUUUUCGAACACUUGCCAUGAUCCCGGGGACAGCUGGGGGGAUUCUCCUGUGGAGGAGCUUGAGGGUGUAGUCCGCAACCUGUUGAGGGGUGGCUCUUUCCUUGGCCUCUGCACCAGGAGUAACCAUACUUGGCUUGAGGAGGAUACCCUCGAACAAGACAUUGUUCUCGGCUAGGUAGAAGAAAACCUCGGCCCACACCUUCAAGGCGACUUCGAAAGUCCUUUCAAUGGUGUGUUCACCAUCAAGCAAGAUCUCUGGCUCAACAAUUGGGACCAAACCACUGUCCUAAAGAAUCAAGAAGCAAGCACUUUCUCAAUCAGAAACACAUCCUAACUAGACACAAAACAAAACCCUGCAGUCUAAGUAGCAACUUAAUAGCAAUUAGUCAAUCAUAUAUGAAAUCAACUUGCAUAGCAUAUCAGUUCUCUUACUUGUGCAAUGGAAGCGUAGCGAGCGAGACCCCAUGCUGCUUCCUUUACUGCAAGAGCUGAUGGGCCAUUGGGGAUGCUCACAACGGUACGCCUAGUUCAUCAAGUUGGUAAUUACGUUACAUUUUACUGUCAUCAAUUUACCUUAUGGAGCUAGAAUUAGUUGCCAAAAUAACAUGGGGAAUUCAGAUUUGAUCCGUACCAUUUGGCGAAACGAGCUCCCUGCUGGUAGUAGGCAGCAGUGCGAGAGGCAAGACCAUCAAGACCUUGGCACCAGGACUCAUCGUUGGAACCAGUUAGGGGCACCAAACCCUGUUGUUAUCAUAAUCAGAACAUGCAGCUACCAUAAUUUAUGUACUAAUACUAUGCUUACAGGAGAGUAUGCGUGCAGCUUGCUUUGGUAUGUAAAUUUUUGCAUUUCAGUCAGCUUACCUUGUCGACUUUAAUCCCGGGGACGAUGCCUUGCUCAAUGAGAACAUCAACGAUCUUCUUUCCAUCAACAGUGGAUUGGUAGAGAGUUUCCUCAAAGAGAAUGGCACCUGAAACGUACUGGCCAAGGCCAGGAGCAGACACAAGUAGGGUACGGUAGGCUUGGCGGUUGGCCUCAGUGUUCUCUAGCCCGAUUGAGGCAAGACGCUUGCCGCAGGUUGCAUUGGACUCAUCCAUGGCCAAGAUUCCACGGCCUGGGGACGCAACAGUUUUCUAUACCGACAACCAAAACCACACCUCAUCAAAUUCAAACCUCAAUAGGCAAAGGUGCAAGUUAAAGAUGAACUUUUAUGACUAAACGGUUUAGCAUGUUACGUUAUCAGACUAUCAACUUGUUCCACAUGGUUCAAACAAAAAUCAACCUUAUCAGAGUAAGAAACAUGUUCAAUUACUAUAACAAGAUGGCAAUUCAAGUAACAUUUUCAGAGUUUCUCGCGUAAAAAAUAUAAUUCGUAUGCGGAUAUUUUCGAGAGAGCAUAAGUAAAUCGUUCAAGUCAUAUAUGGUAACUAAAACGUUGUAAAACUUACAGCAGUCUUAACAAGCUCAUCAGCAUAGGAACCGGCACGAAUGGUUAGACCGGUUGGGGCAGUGGGUAGGCAUCUGACUACCGAGGAGGCGGAAGGCUGGCGGAGGGUCUGGCCCUUCACCCACUCAGAUUUGUCGAGAAUCGGAGAAGACUUGAGGAAAGAUGCAGAAGCCAUCGUUAGCUGUAAAGAGUAGCAGCCAAGUGAGAGAGAGCAAGUGUAAAAUAAUCUUAUCUCCUCCGGCAAAGCUCUCUUGCUCUUUGCCACACAUGCACUCGCUCUCUAUAUUUAUAACUGUCUAGUGUAGAACAAAGAUGUCCAAUUUGAGGCUGGUGUGCUCCGACCAAUCCCGGCGUGCCAUGUGGAUGAUAACCUGCAGACUUGGCUGGCUGCGUACGUGGUUCAGACAUGGGGUUUUUUUUUCUCACCUUGGAAAAAAAAGACAAAUGCAUGACGCUCACAAUGCGAAGCGUCCAAAACAGACUUGUGUCAAGAUAUUCCUCUCCAAAUGGGGAAGUAAAUAUGAGGUUGUUAUGGUCUCUCCUGCUUUGUUUCCCCCUUUCUUACUGACUAAUGGCUAUGGUUUAACGUUAAGGUUCGACGAGACGGAAAACCACGUGGACGGUAUAUAGCAUUACAGGUCAGCUUCUACGACCGUGCUGGUGUUUUUCCACACCACAUAAACGACGGCGAUAGGUUGUUUCUUGUUUCAAUCUAAUGGCUCUCACUAAGUAGCAGAUUCAUGGUUGAAUACAAUGCUGAUGAGUGGUUUAGGCCCCUUGAUGCUGAUUUGCACGAACAGGAACCUUUCUACUUCCAAGCUCUUGCCUCCACAAAACCUUUCGGUACGAUGUUGAACAUAACAUAAGGAGAGUUCAACAAAUAAAUGAGUCAUGUGACAUUGUGAAACAACAGCAAGUCGAUUAUUAACACCGCAACAAAUAAUGAAAUUAAAGCAGAAUUCUAUCAUUCUAAUGUACAAGAUGCUUAACUAGAGUUGAGAUCCAAAGAUAGAUCUGCAAGCCCAAAAACUAGAUCAUCAACCGAAUCUACUUUCAUACUUUUCCAUACAUCAGAGUCAUCAAAAGUUGAUGGGACCGGUUGAGGCAAACUUUCUUCGAGGGCCUUGUUCAACUGCUUUACCAGGU
rnacentral:lncRNA from 1 species